AGGACGAACGCUGGCGGCGUGCUUAACACAUGCAAGUCGAACGGUGAACCGCUUUCGGGCGGGGAUCAGUGGCGAACGGGUGAGUAACACGUGGGUAACCUGCCCUCCACUCUGGGAUAACUCCGGGAAACCGGGGCUAAUACCGGAUACGACCUGAGGCGGCAUCGCCUCGGGUGGAAAGUUUUUCGGUGGAGGAUGGACCCGCGGCCUAUCAGCUUGUUGGUGGGGUAAUGGCCUACCAAGGCUUUGACGGGUAGCCGGCCUGAGAGGGCGACCGGCCACACUGGGACUGAGACACGGCCCAGACUCCUACGGGAGGCAGCAGUGGGGAAUAUUGCACAAUGGGCGAAAGCCUGAUGCAGCGACGCCGCGUGAGGGAUGACGGCCUUCGGGUUGUAAACCUCUUUCAGCAGGGACGAAGCGAAAGUGACUGUACCUGCAGAAGAAGCACCGGCUAACUACGUGCCAGUAGCCGC
rnacentral:rRNA from 1 species